AAAUUGAAGAGUUUGAUCAUGGCUCAGAUUGAACGCUGGCGGCAGGCCUAACACAUGCAAGUCGAACGGUAACAGGAAACAGCUUGCUGUUUCGCUGACGAGUGGCGGACGGGUGAGUAAUGUCUGGGAAACUGCCUGAUGGAGGGGGAUAACUACUGGAAACGGUAGCUAAUACCGCAUAACGUCGCAAGACCAAAGAGGGGGACCUUCGGGCCUCUUGCCAUCGGAUGUGCCCAGAUGGGAUUAGCUUGUUGGUGGGGUAACGGCUCACCAAGGCGACGAUCCCUAGCUGGUCUGAGAGGAUGACCAGCCACACUGGAACUGAGACACGGUCCAGACUCCUACGGGAGGCAGCAGUGGGGAAUAUUGCACAAUGGGCGCAAGCCU
rnacentral:rRNA from 1 species